rnacentral:lncRNA from 1 species
CCCACUGUUCUUACAAAUUAUUACAGCCAGAUAAUUAGAAAUACAAUAUUGAGAAAAGAAAAAUAAGAAGUUACUCUAUAGAGAGCCUUCAACCAGGACUAAACAUCUCCAACCUUAUUCCUUUAGAGUUUCACAGCCAUCACCAAGACUUGGGUGCGGAAAAGUUCCCUAAGGGUUCGUUUGAAACCCUGGCCAAUACUACAAACCCAAAGAUGUCCCAAUUGGACAGUUUCAAACAUUGGAAGCCAGCCUUGGGCAUUAGAGUUCCAUGGGUGCUCAAGGCUCCCAUGGCAGUGCUUACACCAAGGGGGAAGAACCUAGGGUUCUAAGAGUAGUGAAUGUGUGACAGGAUUUUAAAACAGUUGAGAGUCAGUUUAAGAAAAGAGUUGAGAAACAGCUUGAGAAAGUAGUUUAAGAGAGUUGAGAAAGUUGAAAGGAUUCUUUUGAAACCAUUGGUACUAACUAGUUUAAAACAGAGCAUCACACAAACAGGGGAAAAGGAAGGGGGAACAGAUAAGUACAGGGACCUACUCACACACAGGCAAACACAAUGAAGGUAGGUAAUCAAAUACAGUUGCAACAAACAAGGGGUUUCAGUUCUUACUGCACCAAACCCCAAAUACUUAACCUCAUCAAGAGGUUUUAAGACUAAACAAGUAGCCAAGCAACCCUGGACGCAUGGUGGUAAAACUCAAGCAAAGUAAACAUACGUUGAGACAGGGAAUGGGUAAGGGGAGCAUGCUAAGCUGAAACUAAGUAGGCUAGUGAGUGCAUACUAGUGAUAAUAAGAACAUAAGAACCACAGAUAGAAACACACUAGGAACAAAAUGAAGUGCAGGACUAAUAAAACAUAAUGUUUUGGGGACUGGAUACUAAAUAGAUAACAUACCAGUUGCACACAAAUAUAACUCAAAGAGAACUGAGCAAGAAUGCACAGAGAGAGCGGGGUGUGCAGAGAGUGUGAGCAGUAGAUAGAAUAGCAGAGUGAGAACAGCAAUAGAAGCAGACCAAGUAAGCAAAGCAAU